rnacentral:rRNA from 1 species
AUUAGUUUUUUAAUUGAAGGCUAGAAUGAAUGGUCGGACAAGAAAUAAACUGUCUUAGAUUAAUAUAUUGAAUUUAACUUUUAAGUGAAAAGGCUUAAAUAAUUUGAAGGGACGAUAAGACCCUAUAAAACUUUAUAUUAAAAAGUGAUGGGUAAGUUUUGUUUAAAGGUUAUUACUUUAAAGUAUUUGGUUGGGGUGACAGGAAUAGAAUAGAAAGUAACUGUUCUUUUUUUUUUACAGUAGUGUUUGAGUUAGUGAUCCUAAAAUGGAUUAAAGAUUAAGUUACUUUAGGGAUAACAGCGUAAUUUUCUUUAAGAGUUCUUAUCGAUAAGAAAGUUUGCG